CUGCAGGUUACUCAUAACAGUUUCUCCUCAGCAUAUAAAACAAAAGGUUCAAGUUUAAAGUUAAUAUAGCAGUUAAAAGAUCUAAAUUUUAAAGUGAUAGAUUUCUUGUUCAUAAGGAAAGUGGAAGAAAAACUGUAGAUUCUACUUGGCCUCACUUCAAGCACAGCAUUAUGGACUAAAGUCCAGAAUGUCACCUCAAGUGUUAAAAACUGGAGAGACUUCGUCUCUGCUUUUUAAGUUGAAAGUAUCAUAAUUCAUAGGUGUUCAAUGAUUCUCCAAAGUUUUAUCAUUGCAAAUAAAAUAUGAAGUUGUUGAAAAGAACAUGGAUUCUUUUCAUGAAAAGAACCAACUCAUCAUGCAUGCUACUCAUCUGUGUUCGAUAAACCCUGAAGUCCUAUGUUAAGAAAAGUGCCUUGAGAUAGAAGCAGCCUGGAAUGCUUGAUGCCCCCAUGGAGAACCCCUGCAGAGACAUCUGGCAGUAGAAG
rnacentral:lncRNA from 1 species